rnacentral:rRNA from 1 species
ACACGCUGGCGGCGUGCCUAAUACAUGCAAGUCGAACGGUCUUUUCUAUGGAAGCUUGCUUCCACUGAGAAGAUAGUGGCGGACGGGUGAGUAACACGUGGGUAACCUGCCCAUAAGAGGGGGAUAACAUCCGGAAACGGGUGCUAAUACCGCAUAGUUUUCUUGAUCGCAUGAUUGAGAAAGGAAAGACGGCCUUUGUGCUGUCGCUUAUGGAUGGACCCGCGGCGUAUUAGUUAGUUGGUGAGGUAAUGGCUCACCAAGACGAUGAUACGUAGCCGACCUGAGAGGGUGAUCGGCCACAUUGGGACUGAGACACGGCCCAAACUCCUACGGGAGGCAGCAGUAGGGAAUCUUCCGCAAUGGACGAAAGUCUGACGGAGCAACGCCGCGUGAGUGAAGAAGGUUUUCGGAUCGUAAAACUCUGUUGUCAGAGAAGAACAAGUUGGAGAGUAACUGCUCCAGCCUUGACGGUAUCUGACCAGAAAGCCACGGCUAACUACGUG